CCGGUUGAUCCUGCCAGAGGUUACUGCUAUCGAGGUUCGACUAAGCCAUGCGAGUCGAAUGUAGCAAUACAUGGCGUACUGCUCAGUAACACGUGGACAACCUGCCCUUAGGUUGGGUAUAAACCCGGGAAACUGGGUAUAAUCCCCUAUAAGUCUCGGCUGCUGGAAUGCACCGAGAUUAAAAGCUCCGGCGCCUAAGGAUGGGUCUGCGGCCUAUCAGGUAGUAGUGGGUGUAGCGUACCUACUAGCCUACGACGGGUACGGGUUGUGAGAGCAAGAGCCCGGAGAUGGAUUCUGAGACACGAAUCCAGGCCCUACGGGGUGCAGCAGGCGCGAAAACUUUACAAUGCUGGCAACAGCGAUAAGGGAACCUCGAGUGCCAGGUUACAAAUCUGGCUGUCGAGAUGCCUAAAAAGCAUUUCAUAGCAAGGGCCGGGCAAGACCGGUGCCAGCCGCCGCGGUAACACCGGCGGCUCGAGUGGUAACCGUUAUUAUUGGGUCUAAAGGGUCUGUAGCCGGCCGGAUAAGUCUCUUGAGAAAUCUGGCAGCUUAACUGUCAGGCUUUCAGGAGAUACUGUCUGGCUCGAGGCCGGGAGAGGUGAGAGGUACUUCAGGGGUAGGGGUGAAAUCUUGUAAUCCUUGAAGGACCACCAGUGGCGAAGGCGUCUCACCAGAACGGACCUGACGGCAAGGGACGAAAGCUAGGGGCACGAACCGGAUUAGAUACCCGGGUAGUCCUAGCCGUAAACGAUACUCGCUAGGUGUCGGCCACGGUGCGACCGUUGUCGGUGCCGUAGGGAAGCCGUGAAGCGAGCCACCUGGGAAGUACGGCCGCAAGGCUGAAACUUAAAGGAAUUGGCGGGGGAGCACCACAACGGGUGGAGCUUGCGGUUUAAUUGGAUUCAACGCCGGAAAUCUUACCGGGACCGACAGCAAUAUGAAGGCCAGGCUGAAGACUUUGCCGGAUUAGCUGAGAGGUGGUGCAUGGCCGUCGUCAGUUCGUACUGUGAAGCAUCCUGUUAAGUCAGGCAACGAGCGAGACCCA
rnacentral:rRNA from 1 species